rnacentral:misc_RNA from 1 species
AGCAAUAAAAGAGUUUCUUCUACCUCGUGACAUUGUCCUGUGUCCAGUUGAAAGACCAUUGUAUGCUGGUGCAUAAAUAUUCUUCUAGGAAGAAGUUAAAAGUCCACUGAUUUCUUAGCACUCCCAAAUAUAAUAGAAGAAAUAAAACCAAAUUGUAUUACCUUUCCCUGACAGACUUUAUCUCAGUUAACUGUUGGAAACCAAAUCUAA